UGAGUAGGCGGUUACAUAUGUCAGAUGUAAAAGGCACAGGCUUAACUUGUGUUAGCAUUUGAAACUGUGUGACUUGAGUGCAGGAGAGGUAAGUGGAAUUCCUAGUGUAGCGGUGAAAUGCGUAGAUAUUAGGAGGAACACCAGUGGUGAAGGCGACUUACUGGACUGUAACUGACGCUGAGUCACGAAAGCGUGGGUAGCAAACAG
rnacentral:rRNA from 1 species